UACUAGAGUAGCACUCGCAUAUCAAUAAGCGGAGGAAAAGAAACUAACAAGGAUUCCCCUAGUAACGGCGAGUGAAGCGGGAAGAGCUCAAAUUUGAAAUCUUAAAGGGUUUCCCUUUACGAAUUGUAGUUUAAAGAAGUGUUUUCUGUUGAGGUUUUGGUAAAAGUUCUUUGGAAUAGGACAUCAUAGAGGGUGAGAAUCCCGUAUUUGACCUUUACUUUCAACUUUGUGAUACACUUUCAAAGAGUCGGAUUGUUUGGGAAUGCAGUCCAAAAUGGGUGGUAAAUUUCAUCUAAAGCUAAAUAUUGGCGAGAGACCGAUAGCGAACAAGUACCGUGAGGGAAAGAUGAAAAGAACUUUGAAAAGAGAGUUAAACAGUACGUGAAAUUGUCAAAAGGGAAGCGUUUGACACCAGUGUUGUUUUUCUGAAAAUCAAUUAAAGAACUGUUUAUGCUAAGUUGUUUAGACUUUAUCAGCUAACUGUUUAGUUUUGAGCUUUUCUUUAAUGCACUUUUCAGUUAACAAGUCAACAUCAAUUUCUUUUGCUGUAAAAAAGCUCGAGGAAGGUGGCUUGAGAUUCGUCUUAAGUGUUUAUAGCCUCUUGCCUAUGCAGUCGGAGAGAUUGAGGUCUGCAGCGUAGAUCCUUCGGGGCUAAAUGCAUUUGUGCUAAGUUAUAGCAUUUUAUAGACAACUUGUUGACUAUGAUUUGUCUUGUAGCUUACUCGCUUAUGUUAUUUUACCUACGCUUAGGAUGUUGAGCGCAUGUCUCUCUCU
rnacentral:rRNA from 1 species